rnacentral:lncRNA from 1 species
CUACUUUUUUAUUUCUUAUCUAUAAAUAAAAUAAGACUUGUUUCCACUAGGAAUGCAACUGGCCUGGUAAUGAGAUCCCAGUCUGGUCUGGCUUCAAAGUUCAUGUUUGUUUACCAGAAGAUGAGUCAGUCCUGAAUAUAAACCUGAUCAGUGUCAUACACUUGGAAAGACCAGAAGAUGGGAUAAAAUAUGGAAAUAAAAACAUGGGAUGAGGUAUCUUAUUUUCUUUUCUUGAGAGGCCAAGGGUGAUAAAUAGAUGUUUUCAAGAAAAGCAAACUGCAGAGAUCCCAGCGCUUCUGUGUCAGAGGCUGAGUAUUAUUCCUGGAGCAUUAUUCCAGGUAAUCAAUGGACAUAUUGGAUCUUGUUCAAAUACAUGGCAGACAGAACCUGAAAUACAAAGCAAUGAUUCUUGUUCCUUUUCUGGGCAAGUGCUGGCCAUGCCAUGGACUGCAGUCUGAGAAAGAAGUUUUGCCUUGUAAUUACCCUGGUCAUAUCCCUGUAUGUCCACACUUCUACACCAUUUUUGCUGAAAAGAUGAUCGUGGACCUUGGAGAAGAUUCCGAUUCAAUGGGCAAUCAGCUGAAUUUACACUAUAGCAGCAUGUAAACUGAGUAACCAGAUGUGUACUUGAAUUUCCUGAAUUUUAUGUAUCAUCUGGAUGAAGCAUCUGGAUCCACCUCAUUGUGUAGCCUUUACUGACACAAAAUAUUUUGGACUGGCAGGUAAAGGAAACCAGAAUCAGCUGGUAGUGUUCAGCUUGCUCCAAAGCCUGUUGGAUUGCCCUUAAUGACUACAUUAAGCUGAUCGGAAGCAGAGGGAAGCUGGUAGCUAUGCAAGAUACUGGACUUGCUUUCUGAUUCCAGCUCAGUCAGAGUGCUAUUUUCCUAUAUCUCUGUGAGCCGUGAAUUCUCACUUGGACUCAUCCAGGAGACAGAAAUGUUUCUGUGUAUGGAACUGGAAACAUGGUCACUAGUCAGCUAAAUGCAUCUGCCACUGGUGGAACCUGGAAGAACAACAAACUCACAUUUCUAUGGACUCCUAGCAAAACAUAACCUGUUUUUUUUUCCCCUGAAGAUAAAGAUAAAUUUUCACAGACACAACGCAGCCACACUGUAUUUAUAGCUGCAGAUGGCUGCUCUUUCCCCUUAGCCUCACAAGUAUGUAUAUUAAACAAUAGGAAACUCUGCAGAGGUGUUUUUCUUUGUUUUGUUGUAUGUGAGCCUGUC